CACACUCAAGGCAUUCGUGAGGUCUUUCCCCAGUGUGUGUAAGGGUGUGUGUGUUAAGGUGACUCUUCUGAGUGAACACUUUGCCACACUCUUGGCAUUCAUGAGGUCUUUCACCAGUGUGUGUAAGGGUGUGUGUGUUAAGGUUACUCUUCUGAGUGAACACUUUGCCACACUCUUGGCAUUCAUGAGGUCUUUCACCAGUGUGUGUAAGGGUGUGUGUGUUAAGGUGACUCUUCUGAGUGAACACUUUGCCACACUCUUGGCAUUCAUGAGGUCUUUCACCAGUGUGUGUAAGGGUGUGUGUGUUAAGGUGACUCUUCUGAGUGAACACUUUGCCACACUCUUGGCAUUCAUGAGGUCUUUCACCAGUGUGUGUAAGGGUGUGUGUGUUAAGGUUACUCUUCUGAUUGAACACUUUGCCACACUCUUGGCAUUCAUGAGGUCUUUCACCAGUGUGUGUAAGGGUGUGUGUGUUAAGGUUACUCUUCCUACUGAACACUUUGCCACACUCUUGGCAUUCAUGAGGUCUUUCACCAGUGUGUGUAAGGGUGUGUGUGUUAAGGUGACUCUUCCUACUGAACACUUUGCCACACUCUUGGCAUUCAUGAGGUCUUCCACCAGAGUAUGUGGGUGUGUUUGUUGAGGUCACCCUUCCCAGGGAGUCUUUUCCCACACUCUUGGCACUCAUGCUUCCCUUCAGCAGUGUGUGCAAGGCUGUGUCUGGUGAACUUGCUCUCGGUCUCAAACCUUCUCUAACUCAAACUCUCCCUUUCCUUAAUGGCUGGAGAUGCCAGAAGCAAGGUAGUGGUGGUGGUGGUAGUGGUUCUCCUGAGCACCCCUGAUCAGAGUUUGCAAGGUGCUGUUCAAAGUUAUGGCACUGAAUUUUUUCUUUGGCACAAAAUAUGAUGAAGGAAUUGCACUGUACUGUAGUGCAUGGUCUGGCACUGAU